AAUGAACGUUGGCGGCGUGGAUUAGGCAUGCAAGUCGGACGUCUCGCAAGAGACGUGGCGGAAGGGUGAGUAAGGCGACGGCAACCUACCCUGGGGAUGGCCAUAACCGCGGGAAACCGCGGCUAAUAGCCAGCGACGCCGGAGCGGGGCCUCCCGCUCGGGCCAAAGGGUGUGAUUCCGCCCUGGGACGGGCCGUCGUGGUAUCAGCUAGUUGGUGGGGUCGUGGCCCACCAAGGCAUUGACGCCUACCGGGCGUGCGAGUGUGGCCCGGCACACUGGGACUGAGACACUGCCCAGACACCUACGGGUGGCUGCAGUCGAGAAUCUUCGGCAAUGGGCGCAAGCCUGACCGAGCGACGCCGCGUGGAGGACGAAGGCCCUCGGGUUGUAAACUCCUGUCGAGGGGGAACAAGGGCCCGUGCAGAGCGGGCCGUGAGUGAUCCCUGGAGGAAGCACGGGCUAAGUUCGUGCCAGCAGCCGCGGUAAGACGAACCGUGCGAACGUUAUUCGGAAUUACUGGGCUUAAAGCGCGCGUAGGCGGAUCGUCGCGUCGGAUGCUGAAAGCCCCCGGCUCAACCGGGGAAGGGGCACCGAAACGGGCGGUCUGGAGUGGAGGAGGGGGACCCGGGAACUCCCGGUGGAGCGGUGAAAUGCGUUGAGAUCGGGAGGAACGCCGACGGCGAAAGCAGGGUCCUGGACUUCGACUGACGCUGAGGCGCGAAAGCCAGGGGAGCGAACGGGAUUAGAUACCCCGGUAGUCCUGGCCGUAAACCAUGGGCACUGGAUCGUGUGCUCGCCGAUGGGCGCGCGAUCGCAGCGAAAGCGUCAAGUGCCCCGCCUGGGGAGUAUGGUCGCAAGGCUGAAACUCAAAGGAAUUGACGGGGGCUCACACAAGCGGUGGAGCAUGUGGCUUAAUUCGAGGCUACGCGAAGAACCUUAUCCCGGGCUUGACAUGCACGGAUUAGCCGGCGGAAACGUCGGGGACGCCUUCGGGUGGAACGUGCGCAGGUGCUGCAUGGCUGUCGUCAGCUCGUGCCGCGAGGUGUUGGGUUAAGUCCCGUAACGAGCGAAACCCUUGCCCCUAGUUGCCAGCGCGUCAUGGCGGGCACUCUAGGGGGACCGCCGGCGUCAAGCCGGAGGAAGGCGGGGACGACGUCAAGUCAUCAUGGCCCUUAUGCCCGGGGCUGCACACGUGCUACAAUGGGCCGGACAGAGCGUUGCAAGACCGCAAGGUGGAGCCAAUCGCAAAAACCGGCCCCCAGUUCGGAUCGCGGGCUGCAACCCGCCCGCGUGAAGUUGGAAUCGCUAGUAAUCGCGGAUCAGCACUGCCGCGGUGAAUGGGUACCUGAGCCUUGUACACACCGC
rnacentral:rRNA from 1 species